rnacentral:lncRNA from 1 species
CAUGAACUGAAUCUGUCUUUGUGUGGGUGUAGCCAUGAAUAAAAAUGUGUAACAGUGAAAUGAAUAUCGUAUGUAAUACCGAUGAACGAUGAUGGUGGGUGUUGUGACCCGGUGUUUGCCGGGUUCGUCCGUCGUAUUGUGUCUGUGCAAAAGAGAAAAUAAAAGACAGUUAGUUGGUUAAUCUUUGCUGUGAAAAUAAAAGACAGUCUGAUAGAAGCUUUGAUGAUCCAUUUUGUUUGGCUUUCCUGCCACUGUUGUGGCAUAAUUUCAGAUAUGGUAAUUUCAGAUCAGGAGAUUUUUCUGCUGUUAAAAAAUUCAAACAGGAAGGCCAAAAAAAAAAGAUUUGGGAGUCUGUCAGACAACCUCCUCUGGGCCACCCUGCACAGGUGUGAGCCAGGCAGGAACGAUCCUCUACAGCCGUCGGAUUGCCUCCAUCAGAGGAAUCCUGGACGUUAAUCACGCUCUGGCCCAGAGGGCAGAGGUCAUCAACCAGACUGAAGUGCUUGCCUCCUUAUUGGUAAAGGAUGCAGCGGUACGAGCCUAUAGAACAGAUCCUGUUCAAGUAAGGUCGUGCUACGAGCUGCAGCGCCUCGCCUUAUAAACCGGUGCCGCUCCCCGCGAACUAGCGAGGUGGGACUAAUGUAAAGGAGCGCGCAGCAGCGCAGCGCAUCGCCUCCUCUCGGUCGCAGGCUCGCAGCUUAGGACUCGUGGGGUGCUGGGCCAUGUGGUUGGGCUGAAGAGGACACGCGGCGCGGCCCAUCUGAGUGAGAUAAUACUUGUCCUGUACGGCUUUUCUUUCCUGUGAUUUUGAAUUUCUUUUUCCUUUCCUGUAUCGCAGUUGCAUCAGAUUUGCAUUUACACCUAAAAAAAACAGUUUUUCAUUUUUCUUCCCUGUGAUGUUUAUUUUUUGUCAACCUGCGAACACUAAGUUGUUUUCGCAAUAUACUCGUAUUUUCUUGUUAGUUCAUCCAUUACUAUUAAAUAUUAUAUAAUGAAAACACCCAUGCGGCAUUUUCUGGAAUACAAUUAAAAGCGUCCACGGAAAAAUCCCACAGAUAUUUAUCCAAUAAAAAAAAGAGUUCCGUACACAAUCAAGUAAAGAAAAGUCGUUAAUUACUUGUCACAAAAAUGGAUGUAUCUACAACUAAAAUACAUCUAGAUACAUAUAUUUCUUGGACGAGUAGUUCCGAACGGAGGGAGUACCUUUGUUGUGCACUUUUGUUGCAUUUCCAGCGCUCAUUUUCGAAGUAUUGUCCAACCUCGGCUCAGCCUCACCUUCUUGCUGCAUGUUCAUCAGGGAAUAAUCACUGAACUUGCUGACCCUUGCAUAAAAAACCAACAGACAAUCUAGAAAAACAGCCACCUGCUCUUCCCUUCUCCAUUCUCAACUUGCCUUUUCUCCCCGCGGGCAGAAGGCAUAGACAAGCUUAUCCUUGGGUUUCAACACCAUGCAUGGAUAUCACACACAGGAAAAGGUUGGUGCUGCUAUUAAACAGGUGCAUCGCUAUUUCUGUACAGUUAAUAAUUCAGUAAUGGAGCUGUCACUCACAUAACUCACCAAAUGUGGAUAGACAUAGUUGAUCCGCAAGUAGUUGGCAAGCAGUUGAUCUUCUCUUUUCUAUUCAUUCCCAGUUGGCAGCAACUGACCAUGCACUGCCAUACUGCUAUGUACUCCCUCUGUUCGGAAUUACUCGUCGAAGAAAUGAAUGUACCUAGAUGUAUUUUAGUCGUAGAUACAUUCAUUUUUAUGACAAUUAAUUCCGAACGGAGGAAGUACUUAUGUAUACCUGGAUCAUAUGAACACACACUGGAACCAACCAAUGUUUUUACCAAUGCUGUUUGCGGUAUGACGCGUCCCGGCUCAAGAUUAAGCCGAACAUAUAGAUGUGCAAGGAGGGUGCAGCCAUGGUUGGUGUCGAUCGAGCGGGCCAAGGAGGGUGCAGCAUGAACUGAAUCUGUCCUGCGUGGGUGUAGCCAUGAAUAAAAAUGUGUAACAGUGAAAUGAAUAUCGUAUGUAAUACCGAUGA